CAGCCGCCGCGGGAAUACGUAGGGUCCGAGCGUUGUCCGGAAUUAUUGGGCGUAAAGAGCUCGUAGGCGGUCUGUCGCGUCUGCCGUGAAAUCCUCAGGCUCAACCUGAGGCGUGCGGUGGGUACGGGCAGGCUAGAGUGCGGUAGGGGAGAAUGGAACUCCUGGUGUAGCGGUGGAAUGCGCAGAUAUCAGGAAGAACACCGAUGGCGAAGGCAGUUCUCUGGGCCGUAACUGACGCUGAGGAGCGAAAGCGUGGGGAGCGAACAGGAUUAGAUACCCCAGUAGUCCCUGUCUCUUAUAC
rnacentral:rRNA from 1 species